rnacentral:rRNA from 1 species
GGGGGAAUAUUGCACAAUGGGCGGAAGCCUGAUGCAACGACGCCGCGUGGGGGAUGACGGCCUUCGGGUUGUAAACCUCUUUCGGUGGGGACGAAGCGAAAGUGACGGUACCCACUAAAGAAGCACCGGCCAACUACGUGCCAGCAGCCGCGGUAAUACGUAGGGUGCGAGCGUUGUCCGGAAUUAUUGGGCGUAAAGGGCUCGUAGGCGGUUUGUCGCGUCGGGAGUGAAAACUCAGGGCUUAACCCUGAGCCUGCUUCCGAUACGGGCAGACUAGAGGUAUGCAGGGGAGAAUGGAAUUCCUGGUGUAGCGGUGAAAUGCGCAGAUAUCAGGAGGAACACCAGUGGCGAAGGCGGUUCUCUGGGCAUUACCUGACGCUGAGGAGCGAAAGUGUGGGGAGCGAAC